UCAUUCCUAUCUCAUGAUCAGGGCGUCAUCCACCCGAUUAUGGCUGAAAUAACUUAAAGGUCACAUUGAUAUGCACGUUUCAGAUGGCAUCAUCUGAAUCACAAAUUCCACCCGACGCCCAGCAUUACUUGGUGUGUGGCACUGAAGACUGUGCGAGGAACUGUCAGUUUUACUGCAAUGACUGUCACCUACCAAUGUGUGAACAAUGCCAAGAUGAACAUCAGAAAAAUAGAAAAACCAAGAACCAUGAAGUGGUCCCUUAUAAACAACGCAAACGACAACUUCCUGUAGAGAAAUGCAAGAUCCACCCCACAAAAGAAAUAGUUAUUCUCUGCGAGGAAUGUCAAAUUCCUCUUUGUUACAAAUGUACAACCACAAAAGAACAUCGCGGUCAUGUGCUCACCGAUCUCGAAAUGGUCUUUGAUGAAAAAGUUUCGCUAUGUCAAGAUGAAAUUGCCAAAAUUAGAAAUUAUUUCGAACCAACUUCUCAAGAUUUGAAAAAGGAUAUUGCUAGUGAUGUCAAAGAAAUAAAGAAGAUCAUGGAAGUUUUAAAAACAUCAAUAAAGGCUGAAGCUGAGGCUGUGAAAAAGCUGGUAGACACAGUCACAUCAGAUAAAAUAAAACAUGUUGACAAAAUAGAACAGUCAUUAUCAGAAACUUUAUACGGCCAAAACCAAAACAUUGAUGAUUAUAUCAACUAUCUAAAUGAUUUAAUCAAAACAUUUUAUGGUUACCUAUCCCCUUCAAACAUAGAAGAAUUAACAUUUGCUCUCAAUUCAGAAAAUCUGAUCAUAAGGCCCAUACCAGAGACAUCCAAACCAGUCCCACCCAUAUUUACUGCAGGUCAAUACAGCAAGGGAGAUGUUGCCAAACUACUGGGUAGAUUAACCGUUCCUAACAUUAAACCAGUGAACAGAAAAAUAAAGCCAAUGGAGACUGCCUCUACGCAGUUGAAACCUACAGGGAAACAGAGAAAACAAGACAGAGAGAAAUCCGACGUGAAAAAAACACUGUCUCUGUCUUCAUCUGUCACCAAGGUCAGGGAGUACACAGUACCAGGUGUUGGUGUAUUUCAUAUAUCACUGGGUAAAUCAGGCAGACUCUGGGCCAGUGAUAGUAGUGGUAACCUUGUCCAAAUAGAUCUGCAGGGGGAUAAGCUACAGAAGAUACAAACCAGUAGUGAAUAUAUGGCUACCACACAGUCACACAGGACGGGGAUCUGAUCUAUACAGACCAAGACAAAAAAGUCAUCAAUAGGAUUACACAGAAUAAUACAAUCACUGAAUUCAUUAAAACAGGAGACUGGAAACCACUCAGUAUACACUCCUCCCACAUCAACGGGGACCUACUGGUGGGGAUGUGGAAGGAUAAAGAGGCUAAAGUAACCAGGUACAACAAGACAGGGACAGAAAUACAGAACAUACAGAGAGACAACAAAGGACAGCCACUGUACAAGUAUCCACACUACAUCACAGAAAACAUCAAUGGUGAUGUCUGUGUAUCAGACAUUGAGAAACAUGCUGUGGUGGUGGUGGAUAAAUCAGGACAACACAGGUUCUCUUACACAGGUCAGAGGUCAAAGUUUGAUCCCUAUGGAAUAUGUACUGAUGUACUCGGUCACAUCCUGGUUUGUGAUAUUAACAGUGAAACAGUUCAUCUUCUGGAUCAGGACGGUCAGUUGUUGUCUCUACUUCUCACAUCACAACAAGGAGUAGAGUAUAUCCGUAGUGUAUGUGUGGAUGAUGAGAAUAAUCUCUGGCUUGGACACUGGGGUAACACAGUAUCAGUGUACAAGUAUAUACAGUGAACAUUACAUAUCCAUACAAUAAGUACAUGUAUGUACUGUGUGUGUAUGUUGUGAGACAAUGUAACAACAGCACUGUGAUAGUGUACAAUGACUGGUAUCUACAGUGUAUGAUGGACUACAUAUCAUUCAUGUAAACAUGUAUAUGUUAAUUCGUAAAUACCUAGAAUAAUUUUAUUGCUGAAGAGUUAACUAUUAAAUAUACAGGCAUUAACA
rnacentral:sRNA from 1 species